UACAGUCAACACCGUGCCAUAAUCUUAAUCACCAUAACAAACAAAUAUGUAACAAAACAAAACAAAAAGGCAUAUGGUCAAAGCACAUUAGCAUAAAUGUAAUACAAAAACACAAAUAUUUUCAAGAACACAAUAACGGGAUGUUUAAGUACAGAGCCACGACACAUGUAACAAAUAAACCCCAAAAGACAUAUAGACAAUGAACGUUAGCAAAAAUGAAAGACAAGAAUACAAAAAUUUACCAUAACACAAUGACGGGAUGUAUAAGUACAUAAAAUCAAGGUUAAAAUAAAACCUGACGCAAUCGCAUAAAAAUGAGCGAAACUGGAUGUGCCGACAAGGUAAGCGUCUCAUACUAUGUAUGCAUAACCUACCAUACAAAUCAACACUCUGUCAAAAUGCCACUGUAUGGAAAAGCUUUUAUAAAAUACAAAACGGUAAAACACAAUAGCCACUUUUUCAGUAAAUUAUACAAACACGUCACUUCACAGAAAAUAUUCGUGUAAUAAAAAAAAUAAAAAAGCGACUAGUGAAAUGUAAAAAAACAAAAAUACAGAGCUCUACUGAAAUUUCAAAACGUAAAGUCCCUUAGCAAUUGCAAAUUCAAAAGCUCAAACAUCAAACGAAAUGAAAAUAACUGCCAUAUUCCUAACUUACGAACAAUUUCAGAUUCAUUACACAAACCAAAUCUAUGCAUAUUUUGCCAUAGUUUCACCACUAAUUAAGCAGGAAGAUGUUGUUCAGUGGUUGUUGUUUGUUGAUGUGGUUCAUAAGAGUUUCUCGUUUCUCUUUUUUUUUAAAUAUAGAUAAGACAGAUGACUUUACAGUAGUCUUUUUUUCGGGCCCUUAAUAGUUUGUUGUUUUGGUGUGAGCUAAGGCUCCGCGUUGAAGGUCGUACUUUGACAUAUAAUGGCUUACUUCUUACGAAUUGUGUCUUAAAUGGAGAGUUGUCUCAUUGGCACUCAUCUUCUUAUAUCUAUGAACACCCCAAGGUGUAUCCACAACAGAACACAAUUUAUAUGCGAUGAUAAAUAAUAUGACAGACUGUUAAAUAUAUUGUCACAUAGUUUGAAAAAAUAAACAAAUUUCCCCCUGAUCAGAUAACAUAUUAACAUCAC
rnacentral:lncRNA from 1 species